AACUUAGAGUUUGAUCCUAGCUCAGGGUGAACGCUGGCGGUAUGGAUAAGGCAUGCAAGUCGAAUGGGUUAGACCCAUGGCAGACGAGGUAGUAACAGGUAGGAACGUCCCCGGAAGUCGGGCAUAACCAGCCGAAAGGUUGGAUAAUUCCCGAUGGUCUCGCAAGAGUAAAGAUUUAUCGCUUCUGGAGCGGCCUGCGUAAUAUCAGCUAGUUGGUGAGGUAAUGGCUCACCAAGGCUAUAACUGGUAGGGGGCGUGAGAGCGUGUCCCCCCACAAGGUCACUGAGACACGGGGCCUACACCUACGGGUGGCAG
rnacentral:rRNA from 1 species